UACGUAGUUGGCAAGCGUUGUCCGGAAUUAUUGGGCGUAAAGCGCGGGUAGGCGGAUUAGUAAGUCAGAGGUGAAAUCCCAGGGCUCAACCCUGGAACUGCCUUUGAUACUGCUAGUCUUGAGUUCGAGAGAGGUGAGUGGAAUUCCGAGUGUAGAGGUGAAAUUCGUAGAUAUUCGGAGGAACACCAGUGGCGAAGGCGGCUCACUGGCUCGAUACUGACGCUGAGGUGCGAAAGUGUGGGGAUCAAACAGG
rnacentral:misc_RNA from 1 species